rnacentral:rRNA from 1 species
UACGUAGGUGGCAAGCGUUGUCCGGAUUUAUUGGGUUUAAAGGGUGCGUAGGCGGCCUUAUAAGUCAGUGCUGAAAUAUCCCGGCUUAACCGGGAGGGUGGCAUUGAUACUGUAGGGCUUGAGUGUAGUCGAGGUAGGCGGAAUUGACGGUGUAGCGGUGAAAUGCGUAGAUAUCGUCAAGAACACCGAUAGUGUAGACAGCUUACUAGGCUACAACUGACGCUGAGGCACGAAAGUGUGGGGAUCAAACAGG